rnacentral:rRNA from 1 species
UACGUAGGGAGCAAGCGUUGUCCGGAAUCAUUGGGCGUAAAGAGCUCGUAGGCGGUUUGUCGCGUCUGCCGUGAAAGUCCGGGGCUCAACUCCGGAUCUGCGGUGGGUACGGGCAGACUAGAGUGAUGUAGGGAGACUGGAAUUCCUGGUGUAGCGGUGAAAUGCGCAGAUAUCAGGAGGAACACCGAUGGCGAAGGCAGGUCUCUGGCAUUAACUGACGCUGAGGAGCGAAAGCAUGGGAGC